rnacentral:rRNA from 1 species
AGAGUUUGAUCCUGGCUCAGGAUAAACGCUGGCGGCGCACAUAAGACAUGCAAGUCGAACGGAAGUCGUUAUAAAAAGGAUUGAAGAUUUAUCUGAUUGAGAUUUUAUAACAAUGGCUUUAGUGGCGGACUGGUGAGUAACGCGUGAGCAACCUGCCUACUAGAGGGGAAUAACAGUGAGAAAUCAUUGCUAAUACCGCAUAUGCCAUGAACAUCACAUGAUGAAAAUGGGAAAAGAGUAAUCUGCUAGUAGAUGGGCUCGCGUCUGAUUAGAUAGUUGGUGGGGCAACGGCCUACCAAGUCGACGAUCAGUAGCCGGACUGAGAGGUUGAACGGCCACAUUGGGACUGAGAUACGGCCCAGACUCCUACGGGAGGCAGCAGUCGGGAAUAUUGCGCAAUGGAGGAAACUCUGACGCAGUGACGCCGCGUAUAGGAAGAAGGUUUUCGGAUUGUAAACUAUUGUCGUUAGGGAAGAUACAAGACAGUACCUAAGGAGGAAGCUCCGGCUAACUACGUGCCAGCAGCCGCGGUAAUACGUAGGGAGCAAGCGUUAUCCGGAUUUAUUGGGUGUAAAGGGUGCGUAGACGGGACAACAAGUUAGUUGUGAAAUCCCUCGGCUUAACUGAGGAACUGCAACUAAAACUAUUGUUCUUGAGUGUUGGAGAGGAAAGUGGAAUUCCUAGUGUAGCGGUGAAAUGCGUAGAUAUUAGGAGGAACACCGGUGGCGAAGGCGACUUUCUGGACAAUAACUGACGUUGAGGCACGAAAGUGUGGGGAGCAAACAGGAUUAGAUACCCUGGUAGUCCACACCGUAAACGAUGGAUACUAGGUGUAGGAAAUGAUUUCAUUUUCUGUGCCGUCGCAAACGCAAUAAGUAUCCCACCUGGGGAGUACGGCCGCAAGGUUGAAACUCAAAGGAAUUGACGGGGGCCCGCACAAGCAGUGGAGUAUGUGGUUUAAUUCGAAGCAACGCGAAGAACCUUACCAGGGCUUGACAU